GACGAACGCUGGCGGCGUGCCUAACACAUGCAAGUAGAACGCAGUUGCGAACGGGUGAGUAACGCGUAGGUAACUGCCUGGUAGCGGGGGAUAACUAUUGGUUACGAUCGCUAAUACCUCCUACUACCUGAUCGAUCUGCGUUGUAUUAGCUAGUUGGUGGGGUAACGGCUCACCAAGGCAACGAUACAUAGCCGACCUGAGAGGGUGAUCGGCCACACUGGGACGGAGAAACGGCCCAGACUCCUACGAGAGGCAGCAGUAGGGAAUCUUCGGAAAUGGACGGAAGUCGGACCGAGCAACGCCGCGUAGGUGAAGAAGGUUUUCGGAUGGUAAGACUCUGUUGUUAGAGAAGCGGUAUCUAAACAGAAAGCCACGGCUAACUACGUGCCAGCAGCCGCGGUAAUUC
rnacentral:rRNA from 1 species